CCUGGGGACCUGGAGGUGAGGACAGCGGGGUGGUGGCAUUUCUGUCCCCAGCACCCUGCAUGGGACACGGGAGCUGUUUCAGGAUGAGGGAAAAUCCCCUUUGAUGCAGAUGCCCGGUUUGGGGGCUCCUGGCAGCGGCUGCUGCUCGAAGCAGUAGAGAGAGCCGGGGCUCGGUGCUUCCCAGUGCACAGUCACGGUGCCACCGGUCACGCUGACAUCCUUGAAGCCAAGAUCUGGGAUGAAAUGCAGGGGGGAUGAAGAUGGAGCUGCUCCAGUCACUCCAGUAGCUGCUCCAGUGGGGGAGCUUGUGUCGGAGCUGGACCUCGAAGGCGCCGUCCCCCCCCAGGGUGCAGGUCACUGGAGUGGGGACUCAGCCCAACCCUGCCCCGGCUGCACCGCGUGUCCCGGCCACGCCACGUGCCCCAGCCUG